AUCUCUCUCUGUUUCUCGUUUUAUACACUUAUAAUCUUAAUUAAUCGUUUACUUGAUAGAGUUAUGUUUUUUGAGUAGCUUUCUAUCUCUUAAUCUGUACGAGGGCUUCAGCGAAGGAGACGUUUUUAAGGCGGAACUUGGAGCUCUUCACCGACACAAUGGGACGAAUUACGGGAAGCUCAAUUUUUCAAGGAUACAAAUGCUCAUCUUCAAUUUUGGGCAAGGACAUAGAUGUAUAUGAAUUCAGUUGAUCAAGAUUAUGAGUCUACUCAAACGAUAAGCUUGAAAGCAAGAAGGAAGUAAUUAAUUUGACACUUGCAAGUUAAAUGCAGCCCAUGCUGCCAGAUAUUAAAAAUUAGAUCAACGACUUCUUUUUAGAUUCUGAGAUGAGUAUUUAGAAAAACAAUGAAGUUGUUGUUCUACCAAUUUUAAUAUGCUUCCAAGUGUGUGCAUUCUUAGUGUUCAAUUUCCUCGACUUUUGUUCA